rnacentral:lncRNA from 1 species
AUACGAAGGAAAGAGAAAAAAAUGAAGGAAGAAAAAAAGAAAUAUGAAGAAAAGAGGAAAAUAUGGAAUAAAAAAUAAUGAAGGGCAUUGUGGAUAUUUCAUAUUUUUAUCCAUUUGAAAUAAUAAAGAGAAGUUGUUUUACCAAACAUUUAUCUGACCAGAUAAGUUGGAGCUCAAAAAAAUCACUCCACCAAAGAAGCCGCAGCCAGAGCCGUUACAGCCACGGCCACCGUCCUACUGAACAAGCUUGUUUGGAUCUCACAAAACAAAAAACCCAUUUUAACAAACUGUGUUUUAGUCCGGAUUUUAGGAAAAUCAGUUUCGGAUUAGAAGUUAGUUAGCAUGUGUUU